GGUUUAUUUUCCCAUGGUUGUUACAUCAUCUUGUCUUUGAAUAUGCUCGAAGUACAGAGACUUUUAUUGAAUUCAUUGACAUGAUAGUCAGGCAAGAUGUCAAUAUCUCGUCCAACCCUCUUCCAGCAAAGCCAAAGCUGACCAAGGAUCUUCACCCUUUCAAAAAAGGCUGUAUACAGGACGAGUUAUUCCAGUAGGAACAGGGCUAUAUAUAUGCAAGCAAUGCUCAAUUAAGAUGAAUUUUUGUAAAAGUGACAAUAGCCAGGUCAAACUAAAUACAUGUAUAGAAGAAGAUAUUGAUAUAGACUCGCAGCUAACCUUUCUGUCAGUGUCAACAACAACUGAACUUUCACAGCAGUCGACUUC